rnacentral:piRNA from 1 species
UGGUUUAACUGCCCAAGGGUGACAGUGCC